rnacentral:lncRNA from 1 species
GUUCACUCGGUAACCUUCAUUCUGUGCUUUUUCUGUGGUGGAAUUUGCUACUAAGAUAGAAAACUUCGGUUUCGCCAGGAGGAAAAACCUGACAAGAAUGAAUUUUUGCGAUUUAAUCUAUCGGCCCGUUAUACUAUCUGGAGCGGUUUUACUGAUACUUGCAAAGCCAAAUUCAGCCAACAUUCAGAAAAUGGAGGAGGGGUUUAUAAAGAUAAAUUCCCUGUAUAAUGCUAAUAUGCUCGAGCCUGGACACAUCCUAAUCAGCAACGUUGACAACCUUCACCUCGUGGGCAGGGGCUGGAUCUUCAAAUUCCCGCACACAGUGUGCCCGUUCGCAUACGACGUGGAGUUCCACGCCUUCAAGCUCCCUCUGGACCGCAAGUACAAUCAGAACCUCAUGGUCAAGAUCAUCGGGACCGCACCGCACCCGGACAGGAGCAUCGCGCUGGCGGAGCGACUCGCCGGGAAGCACGUAGCGCACCACCCAUGGUACUGCAGAAGGGGCGAUUACUGGCGGUACAUCCUCUACGGGCGGCGACUGCACCCCGGCAUCAAGAGGGUGAUGAUGAAGUCGUGUCCUCUGGCGGUGCCGGUGAAUGACUUGACCCCCGAGUAUAUCAGGAGUGAGAAAUUCCAAUUCUUGGAUUUCAACGGGCACCGGGACGGUGUAUUGGAGCUACGGGUUACCAGCAGGAGUAGGUUUUGCCUUCUGGGGAAGGCGUUCAGGUACCACAGGAAGCCGCAGCGACGGAGUUCUCUAAAGCUGCCGCUUGAAGAGAUUCUGAUAGUGUGACAGGGUGUCUAGUAUUUUUUAAUUUUGAAAAAUCCUGAUAUUUCCCUGAUUUGUCUUGAUAUUUUAUAAAAAAUUCCUGAUUUUUUCGUUUUGAAAAUUCCUGAUAUUUUCCUAAUUUUUCUCGUAAAAACUAUGUUUAUUGCAUA